rnacentral:rRNA from 1 species
UACGGGGGGGGCAAGCGUUGUUCGGAAUUACUGGGCGUAAAGGGCGCGUAGGCGGUUGGAUAAGUCAGCUGUGAAAACCACGGGCUUAACUCGUGGCCUGCAGUUGAGACUGUCUGGCUUGAGUGUGGGAGAGGAGAGUGGAAUUCCUGGUGUAGCGGUGAAAUGCGUAGAUAUCAGGAGGAACACCGGUGGCGAAGGCGGUUCUCUGGGCAUUACCUGACGCUGAGGAGCGAAAGUGUGGGGAGCGAACAGG